AGUAGUAUUAGUUAAGGUCUUGAAACUCAAAAAAUUUGGCGGUAUUUUAGUCUAUUUAGAGGAACCGGUAGUAUAAUCGAUAAUCCACGAUGGACCUCACUUAAUUUUGUAUUUCAAUUUGUAUACCGCUGUUAUUUGAAAAUUUUAUAAGAAUAAUAAUUUUCAUAAUUUUAAAUUAAAAAGUAAAUCAGGUCAAGGUGCAGUUUAUGAUUAAGUAUAUAUGGGUUACAAUAAAAUUAUUUAUAUGGAU
rnacentral:rRNA from 1 species